rnacentral:misc_RNA from 1 species
UUUCCGUAGGUGAACCUGCGGAAGGAUCAUUACAGAGUUCAAGCCCUCACGGGUAGAUCUCCCACCCUUGAAUAUUUAUACCUUAGUUGCUUUGGCAGGCCGUGGAAACACCAUGGGCUCCGGCUUAUGCGUGCCUGCCAGAGGAAACAAACUCUGUUUUUAGUGAUGUCUGAGUACUAUAUAAUAGUUAAAACUUUCAACAACGGAUCUCUUGGUUCUG